UGCCCGUCUCCCUGCGCCUGGUGAGCCGGCCCACGAGCUUGGCCUUGCCCGCCCGCCCUCGGCGCUGGCUGGCGGCCGCCUCUUCCCGCGCCGAGCCCUCGGUUCGAGAACUUGUCUUGGACAAUUGCAAAUCAAAUGAUGGAAAAAUUGAGGGCUUAACAGCUGAAUUUGUGAACUUAGAGUUCCUCAGUUUAAUAAAUGUAGGCUUGAUCUCAGUUUCAAAUCUCCCCAAGCUGCCUAAAUUGAAAAAGCUUGAACUCAGUGAAAAUAGAAUCUUUGGAGGUCUGGACAUGUUAGCUGAAAAACUUCCAAAUCUCACACAUCUAAACUUAAGUGGAAAUAAACUGAAAGAUAUCAGCACCUUGGAACCUUUGGGACAUUAAUCGAGAGACAAAGAAGGCAUCAAUUCAAACUUCCUUGGACACCUUUUUUAAGAGACCUGGGCCAUCCAAACCAUCCCCCAAAGCCCUUCUAAAUUCUAAGAAGGAGUUGUGGUUUUUGAUCCUUUUCUUCAGAAAAAGUUAGAAUGUCUGAAAAGCCUGGACCUCUUUAACUGUGAGGUUACCAACCUGAAUGACUACCGAGAGAGUGUCUUCAAGCUCCUGCCCCAGCUUACCUACUUGGAUGGCUAUGACCGAGAGGACCAGGAAGCACCUGACUCAGAUGCCGAGGUGGAUGGUGUGGAUG
rnacentral:lncRNA from 1 species